rnacentral:rRNA from 1 species
AGCGAACGCUGGCGGCAUGCCUAACACAUGCAAGUCGCACGGGGGGGCUUCGGCCUCCCUGUGGCGGACGGGUGAGGAACGCGUAGGGACCUGUCGAGGGGUGGGGGAUAACCGCGGGAAACUGCGGCUAAUACCGCAUGACGCAGCGGCGUGACAGCCGGGGCCAAAGGCGAAAGCCGCCCGCCGAGGGGUCUGCGUCCGAUUAGCUGGUUGGCGGGGUAGCGGGCCACCAAGGCGUCGAGCGGUAGCUGGUUGGCGAGGGUGAUCAGCCAAACCGAGACUGAGACACGGCCCGGACUCCUACGGGAGGCAGCAGUGGGUAAUAUUGGACAAUGGGCGCAAGCCUGAUCCAGCAAGGCCGCGUGGGUGAAGAAGGUCUUCGGAUUGUAAAGCCCUUGCGGCGGGGACGAUGGUGACGGUACCCGCAGAAGAAGCCCCGGCUAACUUCGUG